GGAAUAUAAGUGAAUCAUGGGGUGGUUUUCCUCAUACUGUUCUCAUGGCAGUGAAAAAGUCUCACAAGAUCUGAUGGUUUAAUAAGGGGUUUCCUUUUUCACUUGGCUUUCAUUCUCCUUAUCUACCACCAUGUAAGACAUGCCUUUCGCCUUCCACCGUGAUUAUGAGGCCUCCCCAGCCACGUGGAACUCAUACACUUAAUAAUUCAUUACCUAUUAAGGUUAAGAGUAUGAACCUUACCAACAGGUAAAAAUGUGUCAUAUUAAUUUUUUCAACAUCAACAAACACGUCAAAAGAUGGAGCACUGAAAGCUGCAUUUUAAACAAAUGCCCCAGUCCCACUGAGAAGUGACAGCAUGCUGGCAGCCCUCGCAGCCCUCGCUCGCUCUUGGCACCUGCCCUUGGCACCUCCUCGGCCUCAGCGCCCACUCUGGCCGCGCUUGAGGAGCCCUUCAGCCUGCCGCUGUACUGUGGGAGCCCCUUCUUGGGAUGGCCGAGGCUGGAGCCGGCUCCCUCAGCCUGCGGGGAGGUGCGGAGGGAGAGGCAUAGGCGGGAACCGGGGCUGCCCGCGGCACUUGCGGGCCAGCUAGAAUUCUGGGUGGGCUUGGUGGGCCCGGCACUUGGAGUGGCCAGCCGGCCCCGAGCAGUGAGGGCUUAGCACUUGGGCCAGCAGCUGCGGUGGGUGCGCCGGGUCCCCCAGCGGUCUCGGCCCACUGUCGCUGCGCUAGAUUUCUCGCCGGGCCUUAGCUGCCACCCCGCAGGGCAGGGCUCGGGACCCAAAGCCCGCCAUGCCUGAGUCCCGCCCCUCCCCGCCCCCCC
rnacentral:lncRNA from 1 species